CUCAUGGGCCUAUUGUGAGGUAAUACAUGUGGAACUCAGUACAAUGCCUACAACAGUCUAAGCCAUCAUCAAAAGACACCAUGAAAGUGUUCAAAGCAAUGGGAUGAAAAGGUAUCUGUUCACUUCAGGUAGGAACCCAAGCCACCUGAAGCUGCUCCGGGAGGGCCCAUUGUCUUUCUUCCUACAGAUACCCAAAAGACAUGAACUUCCUCAAAACCCUACUUAACGCUUCACUCAGGAUUGCCCAUAAUCUACCCUGCCCACCUGUGGCCCCCAAACAGGGACUAUAAUCUUGACGGGGUCCAUCUGGCUGAGGUCCUCCUCUUUACCGAUACCUGGAGGGAUUCUUCACUGAGGACCAGAAGUUAGAGACAACAGAACUACUUGUUGGCUAAGAAAUAAACUCACACCGUGGGAUGAGCUAUGNUGAAUGGUGUAUCAAUAUUGCACACCCCUGGACACACACACACACCAAUGAUAAGGAAUGAGUUUUCAUGAGGAUAAAUCAUCAGAUACAUCGGAUAAAUUCAUGCAGGCUGCUUACAACGGUGUCCGGCGCAAAGCAAGUUCCAGGAGGCCUUGGGGACUCUGUGGCGGCUCACAACCAAGGGGCCUGAGGACAAUUCCCCACUGCGCCUUGUGCCAAGUCUUGUUUCACCUUCCUCCACGCUGGAAUCAUCUCUCUGAAGUGAAACCAGGACUCCACACACACCUGAGGACUCAGUGGGGAUCUGAACACACCGCCACAGGUUCAGGGCGGAUCUGCUUCCUUCUUUGAGUGGAUCUACUCUACUGUCAAGAGAGGAGACAGAACCAGGAAGGACAGAGAAGCCCCCGGGGCGCUGAGGCCUCUGCUCAACACCAAGUGCAUCACUACCCCACCUGGUGGAGUCCUCACAGCCCUAGGAGAGGCAUCAUUGCUAUACUUUAUAGAAAAUGUAAAAUGAUAAGAGAGGUCAAGUGGCAUGAUUAAAGGUCACACUGAAAUAGCCAUGGGGAUCAGGAACAAUUAGGGGGCUGUCUGACUCAAAAAUCUGGGCCCUUACUUCUAAGGCCCCCACCAUCUCAUAAAACCUCCCAUCUCUGGAUGGCCCCCUCCUACCCAGGAGCAGCCAUCCCUUUGAUUAUUUAGCUCAAAGGAGGAAAGUAAGUCAUUCAGUUCCAUGCGGCCUUCCAGAUGGAGUCACCAAAGGAACAAAGUGUGCCUUAGACCUAGAGAACCCGGACUGGCUGGGUGUGUAUCCCAUUCCUUCUGGGUGUGGCCGGGACACAGCGAUGCUUGUGAAAUGCAAGGGCUGUGAAAGGAGUCAGGUUGAGGAUGUGGCUGAGCAGACACUGACCUGCGCAGCAUCUCCAGUACACCUCGGGCUCCAGCCCAGGCCGUGCCAUAAGCAGGCUGUGAAGCAGGAACAAUUGCACGUCAUAAACCCCCGUAAGGGCACAGAGCACCUACUCUGCCCUGACUGAUGGGAGACACAACCUCAACUGCUCCCUCAAGCUUCCCUAGUUUCCAGCACUGGGAGGAGGCACCCACAGUUCCCAUAGCCUGCACUCCCACGUGCAGCUUAGAUACCUCUUUUCCAUCUAUGAUCUCAUUCGACCACAAGUGGAGGUAGAGUCAAGAGUCCUGGGUUCAAAUCCAAGAUCUUCCAUUUACCAGCUGUGGGCUGUGAGUCAUUUACCACUCUCACUACGGCUCCGUGAGAUUUUCACUGGGUAGGUGAGGAGAUUUGGCUCAUAGAGGGCAUGAGCAUAAAUGACAGAAAAGGGUUUUAAAA
ensembl:lncRNA